UCCUGAAAAUUUUCCCUUGUGAAUUCAAAUGAACUGGGAAACUAGAACAACUGAUCAGCUUUGGUUUCUCAAAGUCUUUUCCAAAGGAUCUGCAGAGACCCCUUUCUGCUGUACCAACACAAUGGUGUUUCCCGGCUCCCCCUCCUCAUCAUGGCCCUUCAUCACUGCCCAGCCUCUAAGGUUCUGCACUUUCAUACACGCUGCCAUUUGGCUUGACCCUUCAAGAAGUCCUGCAUACCUGAUGGAUUUAAAAAAGAGUAUCAUAUCAUCAAAGAUCUCCUGGGCAUUUACUGAUUUCCUUAGAGCUUCUAAUUCAAAAUUCCGAGAUGUUUGUAUCGUUUGGGGUGUUGAUGUUUGUUUUGUCUUUGAAACAGUGUCUCUCUAAGCAGCCCAGGUGAGCCUUGCACUUGUCAUCCUUCUGCCUUUUUCUCUCAAGUGCUUGGAUUACAGGCAUGUCCGACUAUAUGAAGCUUGUCUAUGUGAUUUUACGUGCAUGUCUGUGUGCAUGCACAUAUGUUCCUGUGGGUGAGGUUGCAUCUGUAUGUGCAUGCAUACAAAGGCCAGAAGACAAUCUAUCAGUCCUUAGGUUCGAUCCACCAUUGGUUGACGAUUCUGAAAGAGUGUCCUUGACAGGCCUAUGCCUAGUAGGUUAGGCUGGUGGGCCAGAAAGCCCAGGUAGCUGCCUGACUGGGAUGGGGAUUACAUGGUGCCACUAUACCCAGCUCUUUUUUUUUCUUUUUCUUUUUCUUUUUCUUUUUCUUUUUCUUUUUCUUUUUCUUUUUUUUUAGCCUGGGUUGAGCAGAUCAAACUCAGAUCCUCAUGGUUGCAAGGCAAACACUUUACUAACUGAGCAGUCUCCCCAGGGUCUAAUUCACCUGUUUUAAAGGAAUAAAACAAGUGGGAUUUUGUGUGUCUUCAUAGGUGCUAUUAGGAAGUACCUUACACUAAAAUUAUCAAAGUAGAAUUCAAAGAACAUUACAGAGAACAGUGAGUUUUUGUUAUUAAAAGUUUUAAAGAACUUCCCAACCACUCUAUACCUAUAUAGAGCACCAAUCAUAAUAUAUGCAUUCAUAAACCAGGCUUUGGUAUUUUCUUCUCUGCUAAGCACCUGUCACCUAAAACAUUAUAGAUGCUCAACAAAUAUUUAGAAAAUGAUAAGAGCAUUCAUAAGCAUAUCAAUAUCUCUUACUCAGUUCUCACUUAGUAAAAAUGACUUAUAAUCAGAUUGCCUCAAUGGGAGAAAAAUUAAUCUAUUGCAGCAAAGGAACAAACAACAAAGAAACCCCACAGUGUCUGGUUUUAAAUACCAAAGUAGCAGUACUUCAGGUAUAUGCCAUUGUGCUAGAAAUCAGCAUUUUUAAAAAAUAUAUAUACAAACUAGCCAAGAAAGACAGACCAGUAGGGAAAGGUGCUUUCCAGAAAGCCUGAUAAUCUGACUUUGACUCACAGAGCCCACUGUGGAAGAAGAAAAUUAAGUCUGUAAAGCUGCACAUGUGCUGUAGCAUAUGCACACAUAUAUUUAUACAUUAUGUGCAUAUAUACAUAGUAACAGUAAAUACAACAUUUUGUAAUUUAAAACUAUAUACAGCAUGUUGUCAAUUUAGCCAAGCAUAUUGAAAGUAUCUUGAAAUAAAAGCCAGUUACAAUUAUUUUUUUUUACUUGUUUAAAUAUCUACAUGUGUCUCAGACAGUGGCACAAAGCAAGAAGGUAUUUAAUAAAAGUGUAUUCCAUCGGAUUAAUUCACACGAAUUAAAACUCAGUUUUCAUGCUCUAAGUGUAGCAAACAGGUUUCUCAACUGUUGAGGAAAUAUCAGAUUCUCCUUUCUGUUUUAUCUACUUUACUUCCUCUGCCAAGUUUCAUAAGACUUGAGAAAAAGAAAUAAAAGAAUCUCAG
rnacentral:lncRNA from 1 species